rnacentral:rRNA from 1 species
CCCAAAAGAUCGAAUGGAAAGAUUCAUCGCCAAUAUGUUUAAUAUUUAUAAAUAUUAUGAUGUGAAAUUUUUUAUCGGCUUUAUUGUUGAUUUAAAAGUUUGUACAUAUGUUUAUUAAUUUAUUGUUUUACAUUGUCGGCGUGCACUUCUUUCCUAGUAGGACAUCGCGACCCGUUGGGUAUUGAUCUACGGCCAAAUUGGGUAGCCUUUAAUCGUUAAAACAUUAAAGACCAAUUUGUGUUUUCCUGAUCAAUUGCCCGGCGGUAUUCGUAUGGUAUUGAGUCGCAUUUAUUAUAAUUUGCGUCCUCCACCCAUCACAAGCAAGGCCAGUUAAAUAAUUUAUUAUUUUUGCUUAGUAGUGCGGACCUAGUGCCGUCAUUAAGCCUGGCCGGCUGUUGGUAUUUAGUAUGGUGUUCUGGGACUGACUUAAAAUUUAAUAAUACCGGUCGGCGAUGCUACUGCUUUGGGUACUUUCAGGACCCGUCUUGAAACACGGACCAAGGAGUCUAACAUGUGCGCAAGUCAUUGGGAUUUUUUUAAUUAAAAAAAUUAAACCUAAAGGCGUAAUGAAAGUAAAGAUUAUCUUUAUGAUAAUUUAGGGAGGAUGUUUUAUAUUACGAUAUAAAACCGCACUCCCGGGGCGUCUUAUUCUUAUUUAUA